GUGAAUCAUCAAAUUUUUGAACGCAAAUUGCGCUUCCUGGUAUCCCGGGAAGUACGCCUGUUUGAGGGUCAGUAUUAUCCAAAAAUCGGUUUGGUUGCAACUUGUGACGUUUACGGAGUUUGGGUUUAUCUUAACUUUUUUGGUUAAGGGGCUUACAAUUGACCUUUUUUGAGCAUUUUUAGACGUACAUAAAUUUUUUUUUAUUCGUCUUCACUUAAUGCAAAAAUCUAAUUCGUUGCGAUGACAUCGUGUGGCAUCGUGUCCAUAAUCUUA
rnacentral:misc_RNA from 1 species